rnacentral:rRNA from 1 species
GACGAACGCUGGCGGCGUGCUUAACACAUGCAAGUCGAACGGAAAGGCCCCCUCGGGGGUCCUCGAGUGGCGAACAGGUGAGUAACACGUGAGUAACCUGCCCUUGACUUCGGGAUAACUUCAGGAAACUGGGGCUAAUACCGGAUAGGAAUCCUUGCUGCAUGGUGGGGGUUGGAAAGCUUCGGCGGUUUUGGAUGGACUCGCGGCUUAUCAGCUUGUUGGUGGGGUAGUGGCUUACCAAGGCUUUGACGGGUAGCCGGCCUGAGAGGGCGACCGGCCACAUUGGGACUGAGAUACGGCCCAGACUCCUACGGGAGGCAGCAGUGGGGAAUAUUGCACAAUGGGCGGAAGCCUGAUGCAGCAACGCCGCGUGCGGGAGGACGGCCUUCGGGUUGUAAACCGCUUUCAGCAGGGGCGAAGCUUGUGGUGACGGUACCUGCAGAAGAAGCACCGGCUAACUACGUG